GGAGUACGAUGACGAGAUGGGCGGCGGCGGCGGCGGCGGCGAGUGUGGUCCGGAGACGCCGUGGGAGUCCAUGUUCCAGGAUCUGAACCCCACCUAGGCGACCGCUGCAGGCGUCGGAAGGAAGGCACGUCCAUGGUUCACCGGAGAAAGGACAACUGGACUCUGGAUAAGGACGCACUGCCUGCACGGGAAAUGCAGCAUUCAGAACUACCCACGUUCACAUGCAAAACAGAACAAAACAAGCUGGGAUGGUGCCAAAAGGAAGGGUUUUAGAUCUGAGCAAUUUUGCAUCGGGUAGAGACAGAUUAGAUCUGAUGGCUUCAGCACAGUUUAGCGCCCAACUUUGAUGAAUGUGAACUACUCUCCCCGUUGAGACUAAAAAGAAUCCUCAAAUCCUUGCCAACUGUUCCCCUCUAGACCCACCAUCUUGUUGGCAAAAUUAGAUAGAUGCCACUGCAUGCUUAGGUAGCCUGAAAAAAGGUGUCACUUUGUAAAAAUACCAUUGUUUGUUACUUGUGAGACUAA